rnacentral:rRNA from 1 species
UACAGAGGUGGCAAGCGUUGUUCGGAAUUACUGGGCGUAAAGGGCGCGUAGGCGGCCUGGUCAGUCCCGUGUGAAAUCCCUCGGCUCAACUGAGGAACUGCACGGGAAACUGCCUGGCUUGAGUUCGGGAGAGGGAAGCGGAAUUCCGGGUGUAGCGGUGAAAUGCGUAGAUAUCCGGAGGAACACCAGCGGCGAAGGCGGCAUCCUGGACUGGUCCUGACACUCAGGAGCGAAAGCGUGGGGAGCGAUCCGG